rnacentral:lncRNA from 1 species
GUGGCGGUGGAGGGAGGAGAGGAGUAGAGGUGGCAAUGGCAUCGGAGAGGGAGCAGGAGAGGGUGGAUGGAGGCAAUGAUGCAUGGCAGGGUGCUACAGGAGGGAGAGGUGCUACAGAGGGGGUGGUGGGGAGCGAGCUGGAGGUCGAGGUGAGGACAAGGAGCCGAUCUUGAAGGCAACAAGUAAAUUAUCAGGGAGAGUAAAAAUAUUGCUAUCUUCACUUCUAUCAAC